UACGAGGGGAGCUAGCGUUAUCCGGAAUUAUUGGGCGUAAAGAGCUCGUAGGCGGUUUGUCGCGUCUGCCGUGAAAGUCCGGGGCUCAACUCCGGAUCUGCGGUGGGUACGGGCAGACUAGAGUGAUGUAGGGGGAGACUGGAAUUCCUGGUGUAGCGGUGAAAUGCGCAGAUAUCAGGAGGAACACCGAUGGCGAAGGCAGGUCUCUGGGCAUUAACUGACGCUGAGGAGCGAAAGCAUGGGGGAGCAAACAGG
rnacentral:rRNA from 1 species